rnacentral:rRNA from 1 species
AGCUCCAAUAGCGUAUAUUAAAGUUGUUGCAGUUAAAAAGCUCGUAGUUGAAUUUCUGGCUGUUUCUCGUCUUGGCCUUGGUCGAGCUACCGGCGGUCAUCCGUCUGCAAACCAUGUUAGGCCUUUACUGGUUGGUUUGGGGAGUAGGCACUUUACUUUGAAAAAAUUAGAGUGUUUCAGGCAGGCUUUUGCCUGAAUACAUUAGCAUGGAAUAAUGGAAUAGGACUUAGUCCAUUU